rnacentral:rRNA from 1 species
UCAGAUCGAACGCUGGCGGCGUGGAUAAGGCAUGCAAGUCGCGCGCGAACGCCAAAGCAAGCUUGCUUGCGGAGGCUAGUAGAGCGGCGAAAGGGUGAGUAAUGCAUAGGUAACGUGCCCUGAGCUCGGGGAUAGCCGCGGGAAACCGUGGAUAAUACCCGAUAAGACCACAGUGUCAUAUGGCACAGCGGUCAAAGAUGGGGACCCUUCGGGGCCUAUCGGCUUUGGAGCGGCCCAUGUCCUAUCAGCUAGUUGGUGAGGUAACGUCUCACCAAGGCUAUGACGGGUACCGGGACUGAGAGGUCGAUCCGGCGCAUUGGGACUGAGACACUGCCCAGACUCCUACGGGAGGCUGCAGUAACGAAUAUUCCGCAAUGGACGAAAGUCUGACGGAGCGACGCCGCGUGUGGGAAUAAGCCCUUCGGGGUGUAAACCACUGUCGGGGACUACCAAGCAAUUAAGGCUAAUACCCUUAUGCGUUGAGGAAUCCCCAAGGAAGCCACGGCUAACUUCGUGCCAGCAGCCGCGGUAAUACGAAGGUGGCAAGCGUUGAUCGGAAUUAUUGGGCUUAAAGAGCAUGUAGGCGGCUCGAUAAGCGUCCUGUGAAAUCCCUCGGCUCAACCGAGGAAUUGCAUGGCGAACUAUCGGGCUUGAGGCAAGUAGGGGCGUGUGGAACUCUUGGUGGAGCGGUGGAAUGCGUAGAUAUCAAGAGGAACGCCAGAGGCGAAGGCGACGCGCUGGGCCUGUCCUGACGCUGAGAUGCGAAAGCUAGGGUAGCGAACGGGAUUAGAUACCCCGGUAGUCCUAGCCCUAAACGAUGUCCACUAGGUUGAUGGUUCUCUGACGGAGCAUUGGCCGCAGCAAAAGCGUUAAGUGGACCGCCUGGGGAGUACGGUCGCAAGGCUAAAACUCAAAGGAAUUGACGGGGGCUCACACAAGCGGUGGAGCAUGUUGCUUAAUUCGAUGAUACGCGAAAAACCUUAUCCUGGGCUUGACAUGCUUGGAUGUCCAUCUGGAAACAGAGUAGACUGCCCUUCGGGGUGAAACUUGCACAGGUGCUGCAUGGCUGUCGUCAGCUCGUGUCGUGAGAUGUUGGGUUAAGUCCCGUAACGAGCGAAACCCUUGUCACUAGUUGCCAGCCGUUAUGGCGGGGACUCUAGCGAGACUGCCGGUGUUAAACCGGAGGAAGGUGGGGAUGACGUCAAGUCCUCAUGGCCUCUAUGCCCAGGGUUGCACACGUGCUACAAUGGCCGGUACAAACCGACGCAAGACCGCGAGGUGGAGCAAAUCGGAAAAAACCGGCCCCAGUUCGGAUCGGAGUCUGCAACCCGCCUGCAUGAAGGUGGAAUCGCUAGUAAUCGCGUAUCAGCUACGACGCGGUGAAUGUGUUCCUGAGCCUUGACACACCGCCCGUCAAGUCAUGGAAGCUGGUAGCACCACGAAGUCGC